rnacentral:rRNA from 1 species
UACGUAGGGUGCGAGCGUUGUCCGGAAUUAUUGGGCGUAAAGAGCUUGUAGGCGGUUUGUCGCGUCUGCUGUGAAAGAUCCGGGGCUCAACCCCGGACUUGCAGUGGGUACGGGCAGACUAGAGUGUGGUAGAGGAGACUGGAAUUCCUGGUGUAGCGGUGAAAUGCGCAGAUAUCAGGAGGAACACCGAUGGCGAAGGCAGGUCUCUGGGCCACUACUGACGCUGAGAAGCGAAAGCAUGGGGAGCGAACAGG